rnacentral:lncRNA from 1 species
UUUUUUGGCCAUGCUCACAGCAUGCAGAAGGUCCCGGGUAAAGGACUGAACCCAAGCCACAGCAGUUACAAUACCAGAUCCUUAACUAAUAGGCCACCAGGGAAGUCCACCCCUCAUUUUAGAAAAUAACUUAUAUUUGGAUAGGGAUUGGAGAAAUAGGGUAUAAUGGUCUGCAUGAUCACACCCCCCCAACCCCACUAAAGACCAUGACCUAGUCACUCAAACCUGCAUGAUUAUUAAGAUGUGAUUUAAUGAUGUGAAAGCAGAAAUUAACCCUGAAUUAUCUGGUGGGGCUUAAAUUCAAUCACGUUUAAAAAAAAAAAAGAGGGAGUUCCCGUUGUGGCUCAGUGGUUAAGGAAUCCGACUAGGAACCAUGAGGUUGUGGGUUCAAUCCUUGGCCUCACUCAGUGGGUUAAGGAUCUGGCGUUGCUGUGAGCUGUGGUGUAGGUCGCAGACUCGGCUCGGAUCCUGCGUUGCUGUGGCUCUGGCCAGUGGCUACAGCUCCGAUUAGACCCCUAGCCUGGGAACCUCCAUAUGCCACGGGAACGGCCCAAGAAAUGGCAAAAAGACAAAAAACAAACAAAAAAAUUCAAUCACAUGUAUCCUUUGAAGAAAGGCCAGAGUUCUGAGACAGACACACAGAGAAGGAAAUAUGAAGACACAGCAGGGAAAGACAAGGCCAUAAACCAAGGAAUACUGAAAACAGCCAGAAGCUGGAAAUGGAAGGAAGGGACUCUCCCACAGGGCCUCCAGAAUGGGCUCAACACCUUGGCUGCAGACUUCUGGCCUCCAGAAUUGUGAGAGAAAAGAAGUUCCUAUUGUUUGAAGACACCAGGUUUGUGGUAAUUGCAACCACAAGAAACUAACACAUAAGGAAAAUAAAAUUUUAAAAAUCAUAAGCUGGACAUAUAUAAUUCCAAUUAAUGAUCCAAAAAGAAUUGUGUUUUAAGUAACCCAAAGAAUGCCUAAAACCUUUACUCCUUCAUUUCGAAGGAUAAAUUAAGGCAAUCGAUCACAGGAUGCAAUUUCCCCAAAGUAUGGCAGAUCUGAGAAGAUGAACGCAGAAAGGUCUAAUAUUUACAAAGCUGCUAACAAGAACAGUGUAGGUUUUCCCAAACAUGCUAGCUGGUAGAGCUCCCGGACAGACUAAACAUAGGCAACAGUUGUCACUGUGGGUGUUCUGCCAACACAAGUGUAAAGUUGUCAUCAGAAAUGAAUAUGUGGCUUCAAGUGGCUCACAGAAAUCUAACAAAUCUGCGUCUUGGACUCUGCACAAGCCAACUCUUCUCAGGAUGACCUGGACUCCUUCCCAUUAGUGCAAUGGUCAGCUAAAGCCAUCCGCUAUAAGUAGGGAAGGAAAAAUCAGUUUCUGUCAGGGAAAAAAAGGCAACUGCCCAGAGUCCAAGUUUAUCAGUAAUACGUUUAAGUAUCAGCCAUACUCAGUCAUAAAUGUUAUCUUACAGUGUAAUUUACUGCUUUUAAAAAUCAACAUUCAGAGAAUUGAGGCCCAAUUUCAUCUAAAGUGAAUGGAAAUAAAAAUAGACUAAAAGGACAAGGAAAAAAAAGAAAUGCUUUACCAGGGGAUGUUAAAUGUGCUGUUUCAAUAAGACAUAUAAAUCACGCUAUGUGGUUGAAUAAAAUACCUCAAUAAAUGGAAAAAAUUACUAGUCUUUCUGAGAAACCUUUGUACCCUGGAUACCUUUCUGUCUUUCCAGAGCUACUGUCAAGGGCUCAGAAAAUCAACAGAACUUGCCUAGACAUAUAAAAAUCCAGUCACCUCAGAGGUAUGUUCUUUCUUUCUCUUGCCCCAGUUAUCAUCCUGAUCACUGCCUACCCAGACAAGAAGCUUUCUACUUACUAGAUUUCAGAAAAACCACUGAAGAUGUUAUUUUCCCUUUUAGUGAAAAAUCAUUUUGUUUGGAUACAAUAUUAUGCCUCUAAGUUCUAAGCAUAAGUGCUUAAAACU